rnacentral:rRNA from 1 species
AACGAACGCUGGCGGCAUGCCUAACACAUGCAAGUCGAACGAGACCUUCGGGUCUAGUGGCGCACGGGUGCGUAACGCGUGGGAACCUGCCUUUAGGUUCGGAAUAACUCAGAGAAAUUUGAGCUAAUACCGGAUGAUGUCUUCGGACCAAAGAUUUAUCGCCUUUAGAUGGGCCCGCGUUGGAUUAGCUAGUUGGUGGGGUAAAGGCCUACCAAGGCGACGAUCCAUAGCUGGUCUGAGAGGAUGAUCAGCCACACUGGGACUGAGACACGGCCCAGACUCCUACGGGAGGCAGCAGUGGGGAAUAUUGGACAAUGGGCGAAAGCCUGAUCCAGCAAUGCCGCGCGAGUGAUGAAGGCCUUAGGGUUGUAAAGCUCUUUUACCCGAGAUGAUAAUGACAGUAUCGGGAGAAUAAGCUCCGGCUAACUCCGUG